rnacentral:lncRNA from 1 species
UUGGUGCAUGACUGUAGAACUUUAAGCAAUGAUGAAAAUGCUCUAUAUCCACACUAUCCAAUAUGGUUCUGCUUGAAUUCUUGCCCUGGCUCUUGGUGAAGGAUCGGCCUGCUGGAUCUGAGUCAUCCACCUAUAAGAGGGACAACACCACACAUUGGUCGCUGCUCUCAAGCCCCUGGAAUACCACCCCACUUGGCUUCUCCUGGUAACAGUGGCUGCCUUUGCUUGCCUGUCUCCAACUCCUCCCAAGAGCAUUGCUGACUAUACCACCCACAUAAACAAAAACUUUUUGGGAGUCCUCCAGAAUUUUUAAGAGUUAUCUAAACUAUUGCCUUUAAUGACCAGGAACUCCAAUUUGAGAAGUUACCCUACGUUAAGCCAACAGCAGCCUGGCUCCUUCAUCCUGUGCAGUAUGGGACAGAGCUGGGUCCUUGUUGUCAUCAGCCAGACAAGCACACAUUAAAGCCCACCUUAGCCAUUGGCAUUACAGCUUUAAAAGCAGCUCCAUCCUACCAUGCUGUCACUCUACUCAAUCACGUGAUCUUAACGACCAGCUCUACAUAUCCUCUCUCCAUGCCCCCACCACCAUCCCCCACCAAC